rnacentral:rRNA from 1 species
UACAGAGGUCCCAAGCGUUGUUCGGAUUUACUGGGCGUAAAGGGCGUGCAGGCGGUUUGUUAAGUGCAGGGUGAAAGCUCCCGGCUCAACUGGGAGAGGUCCUUGCAUACUGGCAAACUCGAGGGAGGCAGAGGAAAGUGGAAUUCCCGGUGUAGUGGUGAUAUGCGUAGAUAUCGGGAGGAACACCUGUGGCGAAGGCGGCUUUCUGGGCCUUACCUGACGCUGAGACGCGAAAGCGUGGGGAGCGAACCGG